CCUACGGGAGGCAGCAGUGGGGAAUAUUGCGCAAUGGGCGAAAGCCUGACGCAGCGACGCCGCGUGAGGGAUGAAGGCCUUCGGGUUGUAAACCUCUUUCAGCAGGGACGAAGCGAAAGUGACGGUACCUGCAGAAGAAGCACCGGCUAACUACGUGCCAGCAGCCGCGGUAAUACGUAGGGUGCAAGCGUUGUCCGGAUUUAUUGGGCGUAAAGAGCUCGUAGGCGGUCUGUCGCGUCGGAUGUGAAAACCCAGGGCUCAACCCUGGGCCUGCAUUCGAUACGGGCAGACUUGAGUGUUGCAGGGGAGACUGGAAUUCCUGGUGUAGCGGUGAAAUGCGCAGAUAUCAGGAGGAACACCGGUGGCGAAGGCGGGUCUCUGGGCAACAACUGACGCUGAGGAGCGAAAGCGUGGGGAGCGAACAGGAUUAGAUACCCUGGUAGUCCACGCCGUAAACGGUGGGCGCUAGGUGUGGGGAACCUUCCACGUUCUCUGUGCCGCAGCUAACGCAUUAAGCGCCCCGCCUGGGGAGUACGGCCGCAAGGCUAAAACUCAAAGGAAUUGACGG
rnacentral:rRNA from 1 species